GAUGAACGCUAGCUACAGGCUUAACACAUGCAAGUCGCGGGGCAGCAUUUUCUUAGCUUGCUAAGGAAGAUGGCGACCGGCGCACGGGUGAGUAACGCGUAUCCAACCUUCCCAUGUCCACGGGAUAGCCCGUCGAAAGGCGGAUUAAUACCGUAUGAGGUCACAUGCGGGCAUCUAAGUGUGACGAAAGGUUUGGCGGACAUGGAUGGGGAUGCGUCCGAUUAGCUAGUUGGCGGGGUAACGGCCCACCAAGGCGACGAUCGGUAGGGGUUCUGAGAGGAAGGUCCCCCCANAUUGGAACUGAGACACGGUCCAAACUCCUACGGGAGGCAGCAGUGAGGAAUAUUGGUCAAUGGACGUAAGUCUGAACCAGCCAAGUAGCGUGCAGGAUGACGGCCCUAUGGGUUGUAAACUGCUUUUAUGCGGGGAUAAAGUGUGGGACGUGUCCCAUAUUGUAGGUACCGCAUGAAUAGGACCGGCUAAUUCCGUAG
rnacentral:rRNA from 1 species